rnacentral:rRNA from 1 species
GGGGAAUAUUGCGCAAUGGGGGAAACCCUGACGCAGCGACGCCGCGUGGAGGAAGAAGGUCUUCGGAUCGUAAACUUCUUUGGCUGGGGACGAAAAGAUGACGGUACCCAGGGAACAAGCCACGGCUAACUACGUGCCAGCAGCCGCGGUAAUACGUAGGUGGCGAGCGUUGUCCGGAAUUACUGGGUGUAAAGGGCGUGUAGGCGGGGGAGCAAGUCAGAUGUGAAAGCCCAAGGCUCAACUUUGGGAUUGCAUCUGAAACUGUUUCUCUUGAGUACUGGAGAGGGAAGCGGAAUUCCUAGUGUAGCGGUGAAAUGCGUAGAGAUUAGGAGGAACACCAGUGGCGAAGGCGGCUUCCUGGACAGAGACUGACGCUGAGGCGCGAAAGCGUGGGGAGCGAAC